GAAAGUCAAGCAGGGUCUCUAAAGCCAAAGCUUUUUUAAAGGUAAUUAUUGCAUUUAUGAGAUAGUAUUAAGAGUUCUGAUUAGAUAAGUGGCUCAAAUUGUAAUUAAGGCUUGAACAACUCCCUGGAAUUUCAAGAAAGCUGAAUUUCAAGAAAGCAGACCUUGUGUGCACAAUAGCAACAACAUUGAAAUGGAAAUAUUAGUCAUUGGCUUCACCAAAACUUUGCAUGUUUGAAGACACAUUACAGAAUGGCCUUUUUUCGAAUAUGACACAGGUGUCGUCACCAUUUUCAGAUGAUAGAAAACACUGGCAAAACACAGCAAGUCUGGCAGCUACUGCUGAGACAAAGAAAUAGUUAUUUUGAAGCUAAUGAAUCUUCUUCGGUAUUCCACCAUCCUCAACUCUCAAUUUAAAUUAUUUCGCCAGCUUAAUGUUGGAAGAAACAUUAUUGUGGUUCUUGCAAUUGUGACUCUGGACAGAAUCUUCUCAGACCCUGAAAGAUAUGAUCAUUGGCGAGCAAACUGGAAAAUUCACAAAAGGUGGCCGGCAAAGAGCUUCUUGCGUCAAGAACCAAAAAUCCAAUUUUCAAUCCAAGUGUUAAAUGAUACUACCAGAUCUGUUGAGUUUCUCCGAUACAUUCAACUUUUGUGUCUAGCUGGUUCACCUUUUGCUAUCUUGAAAUCACAUGACAAAUUGUAUUCGAUGACUAAUUACAGCGAAUUGAUGUCCAAUUAGAAUGCAAGUAGCACAAAUAUGGCAUAAAGAAAACUCCGAGCGAUGCAAUAUUUCUGGUCCAGUCUCUCGUUCUUCUCCUGCUUGCUAGAUAUUUUCUAAUCAACCCGGUUCAGAGAUGUUAUUACACACCUCUGGAGCAGGUGGGACUUGAACCUGAGCAAUGUGGCUCAGGGGUAGGUACACUGUCACUGCACAAGCCUACAGUUGCCACAAUCAUCACAUCUCAAACACUUAUACAGAGAAUAAGUGUUUGAGAUGCAAUAAAUAACAAUAUGUUAUUUUGGGAGCAAAUGUUAUCUAACUUGCAUUUGAAUGAAAGAGUGUCAUUUCGUUCUGGAUGAGGUGAAAUAGCUUGUCUUGGCCAACAUUAAUUAGUCCGUUUGGAAUCACAAAAUCAGCAAUCACAUCACCUCUCAACCUGUUCUUUUAUAGUCUGCCACUGUUGAUUUUAUGAUUCCUACUUAAAUAUUUGAAAUAUUUAACUCUCACUUAAACUGGCUCAAUUCAAUGAGUAACAUUCAAUUAUCUCAAUUAAACAACGAAAGAUCAAUUCAUAUGCUCAGCAAUUGCAAACUGGCAAGCAAUUGAUAUAAACCUAGGUCUGACGCCAAAUACAGCAAAGGUGUGGACACAGGAGUUUCCCCACAGAGUGCUUUUGAAAUGUGAAUUACAUGACUACAGAAAUUUAAGAGAUUAAUUUCCGAUGGCAUUUACAGGUUAUCUCUAUGCUUUACAACAACUUGCAUGUAUAUGAUGCUUUUAACAUAGUAAAAUGUUCCAAGAAGCUUAAACUUAAGGAUAUUAGGAUGCCUGGGCAAGUGGAAGUGGAGUGGACUACAACUUAAAGCUAAGGGAAAAAAGCCAGUAUACGUUUGAUGGGCAGAAGAGUACUUCUGUAUUUACAAUUUGCAAUACAGUGCAAAAUAUUCACCACUUACCUAGCUGCUUGUUGUUUGGGUUAAAAUCAACACUGGUGACCACAUCUUUAUGACCUUUAAAGUUGUGUUCUAAGUUUGGAUCCUCCUAGGAUAGUAAAAAAGGUUUAAUACCUUACUUUACUCCACUAUUGGUUGCCAAAUAUACCAAGUUAAAACUUGUUGUUUUCGUUGAAAACUAGCCUUUUAAGACUUAUGAUCUUUCCAUAAAUUGUGAUUCCAGUUCAAAUAUUGGGAAAAUUCAUCUUUGUUACUUAUUAUGCUUAAUAAGACUCAAUUCAACCAAUAGAAAAUUAUACUCUAUUACUCCAGCUGUAAUUCCAAAGCCACUCAAAAUUAGUGUUCCUGAACAAAACGUUGAAGAAAUUGAGUAAUCCCAAAUUGAAGACAUUUGUAUAAUUUUCACAAUAUGUUAGAGUAUAUGCUGCAUUAAGCCAACUUAAAACUAGACAAGAAUAAUGCCUAAUAUUCCAAAAAACCAACUGCUGGUUUUGAGUGACUUCACAAAGGUGUGUGUCUAUAUUGCAUUUGAAAGCUUUAUGAUAACUUGCAUGUUUAGCAAAGAGAAAAAUUAAUGGACAAAGACAACAUUGACCACACAACUGACAUUUAUAAAGUUUAUUCAAAUAUUUUUGUAUGCAGUUCAUGGAAAACACAAACUUAAUAUUAAACUUUUAAAACUGUGGUGCACAGGAAAAUGUUGAUUAAAAUACAAAUA